rnacentral:rRNA from 1 species
GACGAACGCUGGCGGCGUGCCUAACACAUGCAAGUCGAGCGGGGGGAGUUCUUCGGAACGAACCUAGCGGCGGACGGGUGAGUAACACGUGGGUAACCUGCCUCAAAGUGGGGGAUAGCCUUCCGAAAGGAAGAUUAAUACCGCAUAACCCAUAGCUUCCGCAUGGAAGCACUGGUAAAGAUUUAUCGCUUUGCGAUGGACCCGCGGGGCAUUAGCUAGUUGGUGAGGUAACGGCUCACCCAGGACACGAUGCGUAGCCGACCUGAGAGGGUGAUCGGCCACAUUGGAACUGAGACACGGUCCAGACUCCUACGAGAGGCAGCAGUGGGGAAUAUUGCACAAUGGGCGAAAGCCUGAUGCGGCAACGCCGCGUGAGUGAUGGAGGCCUUCGGGUUGUAAAGCUCUGUCUUUUGGGACGAUAAUGACGGUACCAAAGGAGGAAGCCACGGCUAACUACGUGCCAGCCGCCGCCGUAAUAC